rnacentral:rRNA from 1 species
UAAGCCUACGGGACGCAGCAGUGGGGGAUAUUGCACAAUGGGGGAAACCCUGAUGCAGCAACGCCGCGUGAGUGAAGAAGGUCUUCGGAUUGUAAAGCUCUGUUCUUGGUGAAGAUAAUGACGGUAGCCAAGGAGAAAGCUCCGGCUAACUACGUGCCAGCAGCCGCGGUAAUACGUAGGGAGCGAGCGUUGUCCGGAUUUAUUGGGUUUAAAGGGUGCGUAGGCGGAAUGCCAAGUCAGCGGUAAAAUCGCGG